CAUAUGGAGCAGCCCAGAUAGGGACAGUAACCUGUCUCCAUGAGGCUCGGUCAUGAAGCUGAAGCUGGAGGGCGUGAGAACAAACACUAGGCCAAUCCGCCUUGAUGGGCUCCACUCCUCAUCUCACAGGCCUGGGCCCCAGGUCAAGUUUUCUGCAGCUGGCCAAUGUGGCUACGGUUUGUGACCAGACUUCACACUAAGGAUGAAGCUUCUCUACCCAGAGGAGUAAGGAUGGACUUUAACUUCCCAGCAUAAAUCACAAAAAGGAGUUGUACCUAGCAUUUGACCCUGGAUAGAGAUGUCCACUAAUUAAACAGCCAGAUCAACAUGAAUCGAAGCUCAAUAAUGUCAAAAGGAGAGUCUCUGUGCUGACAGCUCAGAGCUGGAGCCUGCUUCGGAUUCUGUGUCUCCCUCUCUCUCUGUCCCUCCCUCG